rnacentral:lncRNA from 1 species
CCUGCGCCGCCCGCCUACGCUGCUGCUGUCGCGUUGGUUGUUGUUCUUGUUGACGAAUUAGCUAGCUAGGGUUUGUGAUUUCGCGCCGAUCGGUUGGAGAAUUUGGUUAGGUAUGGAUCUCUCGCGGCCUGCAUCGUCGGACCUCUCGCUCGGGCUCCAUUCCCACGGCCCCUCCCACGCCCACGCCCGCGUGCACGCCGUUGCCGCGCCGUUGCGUCUGUUCGACGACUCGGAGGACGCCAAGCCGGAGCGGCUCGAGGGCGGGGAGGCAGACGGGGAGAGGGAGGACGAGGAGGACGGGGGCGACCAGCAUUUCUCCCUCCUCGGCCACUCGCUCUGCGUCAAGCGCCCGCGCCGCGCGGUCAACGGCGGUGGGGGCGGGGGAGGGGAAACCUCCUCCUGCUCGUCCUCGUCCGCGGCGCUGCGCCCCGCGAAGCGCCAGGCGAUGGGGGAGGGCAGCGGUCCGGAUCUGGAGACCCGCCGCGCCGCUGUCCGUGCCUGGGGCAACCAGUCGCUGGCGGAGGCAGACCCGGACGUGCACGCGCUGAUGGAGCGCGAGCUCGACCGCCAGGUCCGCGGCAUCGAGCUCAUCGCGUCGGAGAACUUCGUCUGCCGCGCGGUGCUCGACGCGCUCGGCAGCCACCUGACCAACAAGUACUCCGAGGGGCUUCCUGGUGCUCGCUAUUACGGCGGG